GCGCACGCUGGCGGCAGGCUUAACACAUGCAAGUCGAGCGGGCACUUCGGUGUCAGCGGCAGACGGGUGAGUAACACGUGGGAACGUACCCUUUGGUUCGGAAUAACGCUGGGAAACUAGCGCUAAUACCGGAUACGCCCUUUUGGGGAAAGGCUUGCUGCCGAAGGAUCGGCCCGCGUCUGAUUAGCUAGUUGGUGGGGUAAUGGCCUACCAAGGCGACGAUCAGUAGCUGGUCUGAGAGGAUGAUCAGCCACACUGGGACUGAGACACGGCCCAGACUCCUACGGGAGGCAGCAGUGGGGAAUAUUGGACAAUGGGCGCAAGCCUGAUCCAGCCAUGCCGCGUGAGUGAUGAAGGCCUUAGGGUUGUAAAGCUCUUUUGUCCGGGACGAUAAUGACGGUACCGGAAGAAUAAGCCCCGGCUAACUUCGUG
rnacentral:rRNA from 1 species